AUUGUUGGUUAUUUUUCACUUGUACUUAAUUGGUGUUGUAGAUCUCUACUCUUUCUGUAUAUUUGUAUUUUCAUUUUUGAAACUUUAAUGCAGUACAAAUGUAGUGAUUGUAAACCAAGGCUUUCUGAAGCAUUUUUAGGCUUUCAUCAAACUGAGCCACUCCUUGAUCCCAGUUUCACCGUCUUCAUUAACACAACACAGCUGAACCAAAUGAACUGGUCUCCGUUCUCUCCCAGUUCGUUGCUAUGGUUACUGUCGUUGGGUUAAUUUACCCCAGCUGUGUCUCGUUUCCUUGAUCUGUUCUCUGUGUAUUUAAGCCCUCUGUUUCUCCCUGGUCGUUGACUUGCAUUACUUUAAGUUGUAGUUGAUGUGUGUGGUUCUCCUCGUGGAUUCUGCUGGUCACUGGUCUAUUAAAGUCUCCUGAAGUUUUCUCCAUCGUCGGGCGCUUUAAUGCAUCCACCAUUUUGAGCUGUUUAGGGAUAUAAAGGCACCUGAGUGAGUCAGAUUUCAGAUACAGAGGGUCACCACAUGUAGUGAGCGGUGAAGUUCAGGUUGGGGUGGGCCAAUCUGACUGCAUCCACCCCUGAGACCCGUACCACCCUUGGCGAGUCGGACAGAGCAAGGAGGACAGACGACAA